ensembl:lncRNA
GAGAAGGGGCAAGGCUCCAGGCUCCACGCCCACCCACCUCUGCUCCGCAUGCACAGCAGGAGUCCGGAGAGCCCCCACACCAACACGGCCACCAAGGACCUUGUGCGUGACCCCCCUGCACACUCCUGCGUCUCGUCUCGCUCCCCCUCAUCCCCGCCGCAGCACCGGCUACACAUGCCCGUGGAGCGCUGGGCUGAAAACGUCAACAGAUACUACAUCUCCCAGAAUGCUUUGAGGCCACGGUGUGGCUCACCCUGUGAGGAGCUGUCUGAACUCGACUCGCUGUACAGGGCCAGCCUGCGGGCUCCCAGCAUGCCCCGGAGCCCCUGUGUGCCCAGUCCACACCCUACUGGUAGACAAGGCCCUGCUUCAGCACGUAAGCUGUCAGCUGGACCCCUGGGCCGCUCCAAAACCCCCACCGCAGAGCUGGAGAGGAGUGCCUACAGCAAAUCCUCCCACCCCAGCAACACCGCAUACAGACCUGUGUCUCCUGCAGUGUGUGCCAUGCCGCUAGGUGAGGAUGAGCAGUACAGCGCUGAGAACAUGCGCCGAAUCGCCCGGAGUCUCAGUGGGAGCGUGAUUGGGGGACAUGCCCAAACCUUGCCCUCCUCCCACAGUCUCAGUGGCAACGUGAUUGGGGGGCAGGCCAACACCAGCCCCUCCUCUCACAGUCUUAGUAGGGGUGUGAUUGGGCGAGAGGCAGACACCACCGUCUCCUCCCGCAGUCUCAGUGGGUGCAUCGUUGGGGGGCGAGCCCAGACCAUUGCCUUCUCCCACAGCUCAGACCACGCUGGCCCGCGGACGGUGAAGCACGCGGACGUGCACCACCUUAGCACCUCCCUGAAUGCUCCACCUUUCCCCCGUGCUCCUCCGCAGUCCAGCCGUGAACUCGUACACCAGCGUCUGCGUCCUGGCCAGCCGAUGUCUCUACCUCGGACGGCCUUGUGGCCCUGUGCGUUGGGGCCCUCUCGUGGACACCCAGGAGAGUCCCAGAAAGAGCUUCUGGCUUUGCCUGACCGGGGUGAAGCUGC